rnacentral:rRNA from 1 species
UACGUAGGUGGCGAGCGUUAUCCGGAAUGAUUGGGCGUAAAGGGUGCGUAGGCGGCCUGCUAAGUCUGGAGUGAAAGGUACCGGCUCAACCGGUACAGGCUCUGGAAACUGGCGGGCUAGAGAGCAGGAGAGGGCGGUGGAACUCCAUGUGUAGCGGUAAAAUGCAUAGAUAUCACGCAGAACCCCGAUUGCGAAGGCAGCAUGCCGGCUUCCUACUGACGCUGAAGCACGAAAGCGUUGGGAUCGAACAGG